CCUACGGGAGGCAGCAGUGAGGAAUAUUGGUCAAUGGGCUUACGCCUGAACCAGCCAAGUCGCGUGAGGGAAGACUGCCCUAUGGGUUGUAAACCUCUUUUGCCGGGGAGCAACGGGGUCCUUGCGAGGUCCCAAUGAGAGUACCCGGAGAAAAAGCAUCGGCUAACUCCGUGCCAGCAGCCGCGGUAAUACGGAGGAUGCGAGCGUUAUCCGGAUUUAUUGGGUUUAAAGGGUGCGUAGGCGGGCUGUUAAGUCAGCGGUCAAAUGUCGGGGCUCAACCCCGGCCUGCCGUUGAAACUGGCGGC
rnacentral:rRNA from 1 species